GACGAACGCUGGCGGCGUGCUUAACACAUGCAAGUCGAACGGAAAGGCCCUGCUUUUGUGGGGUGCUCGAGUGGCGAACGGGUGAGUAACACGUGAGUAACCUGCCCUUGACUUUGGGAUAACUUCAGGAAACUGGGGCUAUACCGGAAAGGAGCCCCUGCUGCAUGGUGGGGGCUGGAAAGUUUCGGCGGUUGGGGAUGGACUCGCGGCUUAUCAGCUUGUUGGUGGGGUAGUGGCUUACCAAGGCUUUGACGGGUAGCCGGCCUGAGAGGGUGACCGGCCACAUUGGGACUGAGAUACGGCCCAGACUCCUACGGGAGGCAGCAGUGGGGAAUAUUGCACAAUGGGCGGAAGCCUGAUGCAGCAACGCCGCGUGCGGGAUGACGGCCUUCGGGUUGUAAACCGCUUUCGCCUGUGACGAAGCGUGAGUGACGGUAAUGGGUAAAGAAGCACCGGCUAACUACGUG
rnacentral:rRNA from 1 species